GCUUCCGUGGCGCAAUGGAUUAGCGCGUUGGACUUCUAAUUCAAAGGUUGUGGGUUCGAGUCCCACCGGAGGUG
rnacentral:tRNA from 1 species